UACGAAGGGGGCUAGCGUUGUUCGGAUUUACUGGGCGUAAAGCGCACGUAGGCGGAUCGUUAAGUCGGGGGUGAAAUCCUGGAGCUCAACUCCAGAACUGCCUUCGAUACUGGCGAUCUUGAGUCCGGAAGAGGUGAGUGGAACUCCUAGUGUAGAGGUGGAAUUCGUAGAUAUUAGCUAGAACACCAGUGGCGAAGGCGGCCAACUGGUCCGGUACUGACGCUGAGGUGCGAAAGCGUGGGGAGCAAACAGG
rnacentral:rRNA from 1 species